GAUGAACGCUGGCGGCGUGCCUAACACAUGCAAGUCGAGCGAUUCUCUUCGGAGAAGAGCGGCGGACGGGUGAGUAACGCGUGGGUAACCUGCCCUGUACACACGGAUAACAUACCGAAAGGUAUGCUAAUACGAGAUAAUAUGCUUUUAUCGCAUGGUAGAAGUAUCAAAGCUCCGGCGGUACAGGAUGGACCCGCGUCUGAUUAGCUAGUUGGUAAGGUAACGGCUUACCAAGGCGACGAUCAGUAGCCGACCUGAGAGGGUGAUCGGCCACAUUGGAACUGAGACACGGUCCAAACUCCUACGGGAGGCAGCAGUGGGGAAUAUUGCACAAUGGGCGAAAGCCUGAUGCAGCAACGCCGCGUGAGCGAUGAAGGCCUUCGGGUCGUAAAGCUCUGUCCUCAAGGAAGAUAAUGACGGUACUUGAGGAGGAAGCCCCGGCUAACUACGUGCCAGCAGCCGCCGUAA
rnacentral:rRNA from 1 species